rnacentral:rRNA from 1 species
AGUGAAGCGGGAAAAGCUCAAAUUUGAAAUNAGGCGGUCUCAGGCCGUCCGAGUUGUAGUCUAGAGAGGCGUCUUCCGUGCCGGACCGUGUACAAGUCCCUUGGGAUAGGGCGUCAUAGAGGGUGAGAAUCCCGUCCAUGACACGGACUGCCGGUGCUCUGUGAUGCGCCUUCAAAGAGUCGAGUUGUUUGGGAAUGCAGCUCAAAAUGGGUGGUAAAUUCCAUCUAAAGCUAAAUACAGGCGAGAGACCGAUAGCGAACAAGUACCGUGAGGGAAAGAUGAAAAGCACUUUGGAAAGAGAGUUAAACAGUACGUGAAAUUGUUGAAAGGGAAACGCUUGGAGUCAGUCGCGUCCGUCGAGACUCAGCCGGGCUUCUGCCCGGCGCACUUCUCGGUGGAUGGGCCAGCAUCGAUUUUGGCUGCCGGAAAAGGGUGAGGGGAAGGUGGCACCUCCGGGUGUGUUAUAGCCCCUUGUCGUAUACGGUGGCUGGGAUCGAGGUUCGCAGCACGCCUUUAUGGUCGGGGUUCGCCCACGCCACGUGCUUAGGAUGCUGGCGUAAUGGCUUUAAACGACCCGUCUUGAAACACGGACCAAGGAGUCUAACAUGCCUGCGAGUGUUUGGGUGGAAAACCCAGGCGCGGAAUGAAAGUGAAAGGUUGGGACUCCCCUAAACAAGGAGGCACCGACGCCCGAUCCUGACCUUCUGUGACGGAUUUGAGGCAGAGCAUGUAUGUUGGGACCCGAAAGAUG